rnacentral:rRNA from 1 species
UACGGGGGGGGCAAGCGUUGUUCGGAAUUACUGGGCGUAAAGGGCUCGUAGGCGGCCAACUAAGUCGGACGUGAAAUCCCUCGGCUUAACCGGGGAACUGCGUCUGAUACUGGAUGGCUUGAGUCCGGGAGAGGGAUGCGGAAUUCCAGGUGUAGCGGUGAAAUGCGUAGAUAUCUGGAGGAACACCGGUGGCGAAGGCGGCAUCCUGGACCGGCACUGACGCUGAUGAGCGAAAGCCAGGGGAGCAAACGGG